GUUAUCUCAUCACAGAAGGCAAUCAGGUUGGUCAGGCAUGACUUGCCCUUGGUGAAUCCAUGUUGACUGUUCCUGAUCACCUUCCGCUCCUCCAAGUGCUUCAAAAUGGAUUCUUUGAGGACUUGCUCCAUGAUUUUUCCAGGGACUGAGGUAACUACUUGCAGACCAUGGUCAAGCACCUCUUAUCCUUUUCUUGGAUAAACUAAAUAGACUCAAGGAGCUCAAUCACUGUAAGGCAUUCCCUCCCCAAGGAAACACCUUCUAUUCCUCUUCACCAGCUCCAUCUCUGACCCUGGACAUAAGACUUGACUUUACCAUGGUGUAUUGUAUUACUCAAAUCCAGUUGCUGACCAGUACCUGCUUGCAAAACCAAACUGACUUUGCUGCCACUUCAUGAGAUUCUGAAACUCCCAAGGUGGUGCUCUGGGUUCCAAAAUUGGUGUCUUGAUCUGUAAAAGGCACCAUGCACAGAGCAAACACGUGCCUCUUGACACAUGUAUCCUUUGCAGUGGACGUGUUAUUCCUCGACUUUAGCAAAUCUUUUGACACGGUCUCCCACAGUAUUCUUGUCAGCAAGUUAAAGAAGUAUGGGCUGGAUGGAUGCACCAGAAGGUGGGUAGAAAGUUGGCUAGAUUGUUGGGCUCAUUGGGUAGUGACCAAUG